rnacentral:snRNA from 1 species
AGAAGUGAGGGUGAUCUGACUGCAACAUCUGUCACCCCAUCCGUUCGCCAGGGUUGAUUCCGCUGAUCUAGCUGGCUAAGUGGGUGUCCCCUUCCUCCCUCACCACUCCAUGUACAUCCCUCCCAAAGCUGUGUGCUUGGUUGAAGAGAACGACCUUCGCCGAUAGAAGGAGGACUGCCCUUCGGUCAAGGGUAUACGAGUAGCUGCGCUCCCCUGCUAGAACCUCCAAACAAGUCUCAAGAUACUAACACAGUCGUUAAACAAAUAUAAGAAACUUCAAAAAUCUUGUUGAAUAUUCCAUUAUCUUU